AUAUGCCAUUUUUGCUUAGACAACAGAUAUUAAUCAUUAACAAACUACAGUGCUUGGGAAAAUGAGGUAAGUCAAUAACCAAGACACUAGAUUCAGUCACGGUGCAUGUCAUAAGUGUAGACCAAUUUUCAGGCUUUGUUUUAGUAAUGACUAAUAAAACAAACAAAAGACACUAUAUUCUUAACUAUCCAUAACUAAAAAGCAAACAACUAACUAACUACAAUAUCAAAAAAAGCCAAAAUAUUUCUAAACACAGCCGUCUGGGGCAAAGACGUCACGUGACGUGUUGCACGUUUUCCGCACAUACUCAACUCACGUGUACCCAAGCAGCCAGCGGCGCAAACACAAUGGACGGUGACGAGGGAUUGGCAGACCUAAACUGGAAAUACAGUCACUACUUCGAGUUUCUCUAAAGAGGACACUAUUAAGGUUAUGCAGACGUUUGACUCCCAUUCCAGUACACAGUGCAGACAAAAAAAGGUUGUGCUUCGAGCAGAAGUAGGGGCUGGUUUCAAGGAGAAUGACAACCACACAAGAUCCCAUACACUGCCACCAGAAGAAUAAAAUCCAUUAGGAUAAAACUUUGCUAGAUUUUAUGCGCAAGGUAAUAAAAACCUGGACUAUUGAGCAAACAGUAGAGGAGGAGAAUUUGGAGGAAAAAAGUGCAAGUGUGGGAGGCCCAUUUGUCCAUGCAUUUUUAUCUCAUGUUUUAUGUAAAUAAAUUAUUUUUCUGUCAAAAGCACUUUCUCAGUGUUGUUCUAUGUUCAGAUGUUUAAGAAUUUCACAAAAGAAAAAAAAAUAUUGAUGUGUCUGCUUUCACAAAAAGGCCGUUUUCAUUUUUUUUCCUCCAUAAACAGAUUUGGUUGAAAGUAGCCUAUAUUUGACUGCUGACUACUAAAGAACGGUAUAAGCUAUAGACAAACCUUUUUGUAUGAUGAAAGAGGGUCUGAUCUUUCUUUUCGUGGUUUUGGUGUUUACAUCGUCAUAGUACACAAUAUUCUGUGGGGCUUGAAUAAUCUGUGAAAUUGCUCGAAAAUGCCUGGCAGUCUCGGGGUUCCCUGCUCAGGAAACAGCGGGCAGUGAAUGA